rnacentral:rRNA from 1 species
AUUGAACGCUGGCGGCAGGCCUAACACAUGCAAGUCGAGCGGUAGAGCGAGGCUUGCUUCUCUUGAGAGCGGCGGACGGGUGAGUAAUGCCUAGGAAUCUGCCUGGUAGUGGGGGAUAACGUUCGGAAACGGACGCUAAUACCGCAUACGUCCUACGGGAGAAAGCAGGGGACCUUCGGGCCUUGCGCUAUCAGAUGAGCCUAGGUCGGAUUAGCUAGUUGGUGGGGUAAUGGCUCACCAAGGCGACGAUCCGUAACUGGUCUGAGAGGAUGAUCAGUCACACUGGAACUGAGACACGGUCCAGACUCCUACGGGAGGCAGCAGUGGGGAAUAUUGGACAAUGGGCGAAAGCCUGAUCCAGCCAUGCCGCGUGUGUGAAGAAGGUCUUCGGAUUGUAAAGCACUUUAAGUUGGGAGGAAGGGUUGUAGAUUAAUACUCUGCAAUUUUGACGUUACCGACAGAAUAAGCACCGGCUAACUCUGUG